AAACCAUGAUGUGGACACUGAUUGGUGUAGCUUCUAAACCUCUCCCAAGCCUCCCCAAAGCUUUCAUUGUUAUGUUGCUUGAAGCUUGAAAUUUGGUUUCUCAGCUU
rnacentral:snoRNA from 1 species